ACAGGAUAGUCCAACACACCUUUACUUGCUUUUGUAAAAUGUAAGACACUCGCGUGGUUUCUUACCAGAAGGAGCGCUCGGUUCUGCCUCUUCAGUUCACUGAAACAAACGCGCUGUCCAACAGUUUCUUUGUAGCGUAAUUAGAUAACACAUAGGCUACAUUAUCUCAAAGGUCAGAGAGGUGUAAAGGGAAGAGGGUUGUGCGUCCGCGCAGCUCAUCGGGAUGAAAAAACGAGUCCUGAGGUGGAAAGAGGGGGGAGGACGCCUGCGCAGGUGGAUUUUAACCAUUGUGUGACUGGUAAACGCAAUUUGCAAUUAUAUUGAAAGGGAAUGAAAGCAUAAGGCAUCAGAGUUACCAACCUCAGAUUUAAGCAUCAUGAAAGACCUACUUCCUCAACUUUACGCACCAAGCCAUUUCGAGAAAGAUCACGUUUAAUUUACAUUUUAGCAUAAACUCAGUGAUGGAAUUGCAAUAGCACCUCUCAUCCCUAGAUGGCACCAGAUUACACUCCUCCUGAAUACUGAGAGCGGUGGUUCUCAAAUAUUAGGCUGGGGUAGCCUACUUUAAGGCGUAACAUUACACAAAGACUAGAGCAGUGACGUGCACAGACAUUUUGAGGGGCAGGUGCUUAACCAAGACAAGAGGGCAACUCACGACACCACCCACCCACCAGGGCUCUGUGCACGUCCCUGGACUAGAGCAAAAUCAAAUAGGACUAACUGGGCUCAGAACGGGUUUAAGAGACCUAAAUUGAAAUGAAAACCCGGUCUAAAAAACAACAACCCCACAACAACAAAUGCAUUAUAAAGCAUGAGAAAAAUGCCUUAAAUUGUAAACUGAAUGAGACAAUCCCUUAUAAAAAAAAAACACCUUUAUUAUUAAAAAGUAAAACAUUUAAAAUGUCCUCUGAUGUCAUGCUGCAGGUCUCGCUCUGACCCUCUGUCUGAUGAGGGACACCGCCUCUUGGAUCUCCUUUAGAGUCACCACUUUAAGUCUGUUGGUUUUGGACUUCCGGGACGCCUCAGCACUGACCAGCCGGAGCAAGAUAGGUCUGGGGGAACUGCCACGCCUCUGGAAGAAAUCCGAAGUCCUCGUCCCGCCUGCAGACACCUGCGGAUAAACAUUCAGUGGUCAGCAUCUGGGCUCAGGAGGCCGGCCUGUCUGAACCCUGGACGAGCCGCUCCUGUAAAUGUGACUGUGAUGGAGAGGGUCCCACUGACGGCACCUCCUUUAGCUCUGGGAGGGUGCAAGGGGUUGACUGUAUGCCAGGUACUAAUUGUACUCCCAUCUAUCAACCGAACCAAGGUCAUUACUGUGGGAGAGGAGAAGGACAAAAUGCACAGCGUGUACAUUGUAAAUACAUGAUAGUGUUAUUUUUGUAUAAUUAGUAUCUAUUACUAUAAUAACCUAUUUUUGUGGAAUGAUGUGCAGUAGCCCUUUAAAGUCCAUUUCUUUCUGGGGGCUUUUACUUUUCUCAUAUUGAUCACUCAUAUUAAUCACUCUCUCAUUUUAUUUUUUUAAAUACUAAAACGUGAACAUACAGCUGAUUUAUGAACAUUGACAAGGCAAACCAAAUAUAGGUAAACCUCAGCACAAGCAUAAAAAGCUAAUACUUUCCACUCCAGUAGGCCCAUCAUUAAAUCAUAAAAAUCUUCCAUUGUGCUCAUCCAAACUCCAGAGCUAGGCACGGUUACUGAUGAUUUGACAGUCCCAUGGUGAUUAUUGAGAAGAUCCAAAACGGACCAAAAUUGUGAUGGCGAUUUUUAUUUUUAUUCAGAGCAAACAAACGGCACACUUCAGAUCAAUUAUGUAAAGUAGCUGUGUUAUUGCCAUGUCCUUAAGAUGAAAGGCUCCACAAUACAAGAUAACAUUGUGUUGUUGCUCUAUAUAUUUGAAAAACAUUUAGAUGAAUUGCCCUGGCUUAAUUAAGACAAAUGUUAUUUGUAAUGUGUGUUUCUAUGGUG
rnacentral:lncRNA from 1 species